GAUCCUGGCUCAGAACGAACGCUGGCGGCAUGGAUUAGGCAUGCAAGUCGAACGGUGCAGCAAUGCAUAGUGGCGCAAGGGUGAGGAACGCGUGAGUAACCUGCCCUCAAGUUGGGAACAGCUUCUGGAACGGAAAUUAAUACCGAAUGUGACCAUAGGAAGGCAUCUUCUGUUGGUUAAAGGCCGCAAGGUCGCUUGAGGAGGGGCUCGCGUCCCAUUAUGCUAGUUGGUGAGGUAAAGGCUCACCAAGGCGAAGAUGGGUAGCUGGUCUGAGAGGACGAUCAGCCACACUGGGACUGAGAACUGCCCAGACUCCUACGGGAGGCUGCAGUCGAGAAUUUUGGGCAAUGGGCGAAAGUCUGAACCCCAGCAAUGCCGCGUGCGGGAUGAAGGUCUUCGGAUUGUAAACCGCUGUCAAGAGGGACGAAAUUUGACGGUACCUCUGGAGGAAGCCACGGCUAACUACGUGCCAGCCGCCGC
rnacentral:rRNA from 1 species